rnacentral:tRNA from 1 species
GAGACUUUAAUUUAAUUGAUAAAAUAUGUGACUCUUAAUCAUUAUCAUGAGGGUUCGAAUCCCUCAAGACUUA